UCUUUUAAUUGAAGGCUUGUAUGAAUGGUUGGACAAAUAUUAACUGUUUCAUAUAUAUUUAAAAUAAAAAUUUAUUUUUUAGUUAAAAAGCUAAAAUUUAUUUAAAAGACGAGAAGACCCUAUAAAUCUUUAUAAUUUAAUUAUUAAAAAUUUUUUAGAUUUUUUUUAUUAUAAUAUUAAAAAUUAUUUUAUUGGGGUGAUAUUAAAAUUUAAUUAACUUUUAAUUAUUGAUUCAUUAAUUUAUGAAUAAUUGAUCUAUUAUUAAUGAUUAAAAAAAUAAGUUACUUUAGGGAUAACAGCGUAAUUUUUUUGGGGAGUUCAUAUUAAUAAAAAAGAUUGC
rnacentral:rRNA from 1 species